rnacentral:lncRNA from 1 species
CCUUCACUAAUAAUAAAUUAAAGUUAAAAUGAUGAAUGAAUGGGAGUACAAUUUGAGUCAGUAAGCCUAAAUCAACAUCGAUCAUGAAUCAACCCCACUUCGUCUCCACCUCCAACUCUUCUUUGACUGUGUCAGUCAUAACUCUCAUCAACUGAUUCAAAUUCAAUGCUCAACUCAUGAACAAGAUUUGAUGUAUAAAAAUUUGAAAAUUGUUAUGUCACUGCAGGCAC